GGGUGGGUAGCUCAGUGGUUAGAGCUUAGGUCUCAUAACCGGAAGGUCCCGGGAUCAAAUCCCGCUAGAGGCA
rnacentral:tRNA from 1 species